UGCCGACCGACUUCGUUCUUUUUUGAGGUUAUGCUUUCGUCGCCGACCUCAUUUUUGUUUAGCGGCUUAAAUCUAUUUACAUUUACAUUCUUAAAACUAGAAUCCAAAACAUAUUUAUUAACUUAUGUAAAAUCGCGUUUAAAGUAUUAAACAGCAUUGAUUGCUAAAAUGGUGCAACCAGUUCCUGAAAAUAUAGAUUUUCCAAAGGAAGAAGAAAAGAUUCUGAACCUUUGGAAAUAUAUUAACGUAUUUCAGGAGUGUUUAAAAUAUUCUAUAGGCAAACCGAGAGGAUGUGAUCCUGUGACCUGGCAAUGGCGGUCCUCGGAAACUUCCCCACUGAAACCAGAUUAGGCCUACCUAUGAUUUAUUUCCAUAGGAUGGAUUACGCCGCCGGCAACAUAAUCAGACUUUGAAAACGACUAUAAAACACUGUACCCGUGGUUCAUGGAGAGCGUCUGGUGGGUGUUUUCCGAACUGUGGAACAAUGGUUUUAUCUACAGGGGAGUCAAGGUCAUGCCCUUCACGACCGCUUGCAUCACUCUUCUCUCUAACUUCGAGUCCGGACAGAACUUCAAGGAGGUCGUUGAAUCUUGCGGUACGUUAGCGUUUCUCUGGCUGGUGGUUCAAGUCCAGGCCUCAGUUUAACAGGCGUUAGCGGCUCAAUCCUGCUCGAGAACCCAGUCUGGGAAAAUGUGCUGACACUGCGACAGCUGACCGACGAAGUUAGCAGCACACUGUUCGGCCUGCAGAGUCGCUCCAUCACUCUGGUAGACAGCGCCGGAAAACAGCUGACUCAGGCGUCCAUAUCGAAAAUGGCGUCAACUGUGAUAACGUGUUCACUAUAAUAGGGUUAAGAGACUAUGGGCUGUUUUUAUAAACUAUUUUAAUAAUACUGUCUUAGCUAAGUAAGCGUUUAUGAACAAAUCAGAACUAUUCUUGUAGUUUGACUAUUAUUAUUGGUUUUUUAUUGGUUGCUUAGCAACGAACCGCGCUUUGCUGAGACUGUUCUUUAUAAUAUUUUAUUAAUAACUAUUCAUAAUUCUAAAUACUGAAUAUUAACUCAACGAUUAUGAUUGGAUCCUGUUAUUGGCUGGUCAGCAACAAAACGUGCUUUGCUAAGACCGUUCUUGAUAAUUGUUUAUAAAUACUGCACCUUUGACAUGGGGUGUAACCACGUAGGGCACAUUGCUUAGUGUGAGUUUGAACUUGAAUCUACUGGUGAAUUAGAUGUAGCUACGGUCUGAUAUAUUGUAGUGUGAUGAGUUUUCAGUUGAAAUCAUCGUAUUACUUUUAUUCAGAAUAAUUAUCUUACACUGUGCUAACAGCCUAUAAUUUGAAGUAGGAACUUCAGUCUACUUUUGAAGAUGAGAAUAUUUUUAGCCAAAGGUUUAAACUUGUAGCCUACGGUUUUAUUAAAUCAAUACAACCUCUAUUGAAUAAUGUGAUAAUAAAAAUAGAGUGAGUUAUUUAAAAA
rnacentral:lncRNA from 1 species